GAUGAACGCUGGCGGCGUGCCUAAUACAUGCAAGUCGAGCGAACGGACGAGAAGCUUGCUUCUCUGAUGUUAGCGGCGGACGGGUGAGUAACACGUGGAUAACCUACCUAUAAGACUGGGAUAACUUCGGGAAACCGGAGCUAAUACCGGAUCAUAUUUUGAACCGCAUGGUUCAAAAGUGAAAGACGGUCUUGCUGUCACUUAUAGAUGGAUCCGCGCUGCAUUAGCUAGUUGGUAAGGUAACGGCUUACCAAGGCAACGAUGCAUAGCCGACCUGAGAGGGUGAUCGGCCACACUGGAACUGAGACACGGUCCAGACUCCUACGGGAGGCAGCAGUAGGGAAUCUUCCGCAAUGGGCGAAAGCCUGACGGAGCAACGCCGCGUGAGUGAUGAAGGUCUUCGGAUCGUAAAACUCUGUUAUUAGGGAAGAACAUAUGUGUAAGUAACUGUGCACAUCUUGACGGUACCUAAUCAGAAAGCCACGGCUAACUACGUG
rnacentral:rRNA from 1 species